rnacentral:rRNA from 1 species
UACGGAGGGUGCGAGCGUUGUCCGGAAUCACUGGGCGUAAAGGGCGCGUAGGCGGCGCGGGUAGUCAACGGUGAAAGCUUGGGGCUCAACCCCGAGUCGGCCGUCGAUACUCCCGUGCUUGAGCACUGUAGAGGCAGGUGGAAUUCCGGGUGUAGCGGUGGAAUGCGUAGAGAUCCGGAAGAACCCCGGUGGCGAAGGCGGCCUGCUGGGCGGUAGCUGACGCUGAGGCGCGACAGCGUGGGAGCAAACAGG